rnacentral:rRNA from 1 species
UGGGGAAUAUUGGACAAUGGGCGCAAGCCUGAUCCAGCAAUGCCGCGUGUGUGAAGAAGGCCUGCGGGUUGUAAAGCACUUUUCUGAGAGAAGAACGCACCCAGAUUAAGAGUCAGGGUGUCUGACGGUAACUUAGGAAUAAGCACCGGCUAACUCCGUGCCAGCAGCCGCGGUAAUACGGAGGGUGCAAGCGUUAAUCGGAAUUACUGGGCGUAAAGGGUACGUAGGCGGUUUCUUAAGUCGGAUGUGAAAGCCCUGGGCUUAACCUGGGAACUGCAUUCGAUACUGGGGAACUUGAAUCUGACAGAGGCUGGUGGAAUUUCCGGUGUAGCGGUGAAAUGCGUAGAUAUCGGAAGGAACAUUAGUGGCGAAGGCGGCCAGCUGGGUCAAGAUUGACGCUGAGGUACGAAAGCGUGGGGAGCAAACAGG